AAAUCUUACCUGAUGGUUUUCUUCUUUGAAAUUAGAGAUUUCUUAGCAGUCAGUUAUCUUAAACUAUGGAAAGAAGUGUGUGGUGCUCAUAAGGACAAGAUGGACACAGCCUCGGGGAUUUGCCUGAAGAUCACAGAAGACCUAAGGCAGAUCUUGGAAAGAAGACAUCCCAGAGGGAUAUUUCCUGUAGUAACCACCCGCUCACCCAUCCUUUCUGCCAGCUGCAUGACUGUACAGCAAAGAAAACAGGAACAACGUGGAGGAGGAAGAU
ensembl:lncRNA